rnacentral:rRNA from 1 species
UGCAGUCGACGGUAACAGGCCUUCGGGCGCUGACGAGUGGCGGACGGGUGAGUWACGCGUAGGAAUCUGCCUGUUAGUGGGGGACRACGUGGGGAAACCCACGCUAAUACCGCAUACSCCCUACGGGGGAAAGGAGGGGAUCUUCGGACCUUUCGCUAACAGAUGAGCCUGCGUUAGAUUAGCUAGUUGGUAGGGUAAAGGCCUACCAAGGCGACGAUCUAUAGCUGGUCUGAGAGGACGAUCAGCCACACUGGGACUGARACACGGCCCAGACUCCUACGGGAGGCAGCAGUGGGGAAUAUUGGACAAUGGGCGAAAGCCUGAUCCAGCAAUACCGCGUGUGUGAAGAAGGCCUUAGGGUUGUAAAGCACUUUCAAUUGGGAGGAAAACCUAUCGAUCAAUACCCGAUAGCUUGACAUUACCUUUAGAARAAGCACCGGCUAACUCCGUGCCAGCAGCCGCGGUAAUACGGAGGGUGCGAGCGUUAAUCGGAAUUACUGGGCGUAAAGCGUGCGUAGGCGGUUCGUUAAGUCAGAUGUGAAAGCCCUGGGCUCAACCUGGGAACUGCAUUUGAAACUGGCGGACUAGAGUUUAGUAGAGGGGAGUGGAAUUUCAGGUGUAGCGGUGAAAUGCGUAGAUAUCUGAAGGAACACCAGUGGCGAAGGCGACUCCCUGGACUAGAACUGACGCUGAGGUACGAAAGCGUGGGUAGCAAACAGGAUUAGAUACCCUGGUAGUCCA